rnacentral:rRNA from 1 species
GGCGAGUGAAGCGGCAAUAGCUCAAAUUUGAAAUCUGGCUCUUUCAGGGUCCGAGUUGUAAUUUGUAGAGGAUGUUUCGGACAAGGCUUCGGUUUAAAUUCCUUGGAACAGGAUGUCAUAGAGGGUGAGAGUCCCGUCUUGAACCGUCUGCUGCGUCUAUGUGAAACUCCUUCGACGAGUCGAGUUGUUUGGGAAUGCAGCUCAAAAUGGGAGGUAAAUUUCUUCUAAAGCUAAAUAUUGGCCAGAGACCGAUAGCGCACAAGUAGAGUGAUCGAAAGAUGAAAAGCACUUUGAAAAGAGAGUUAAACAGUAUGUGAAAUUGUUGAAAGGGAAGCGGUUGCAACCAGACUUGUGUGUAACAGUUCAACCUUGGUUUUCCAAGGCCUAUUCUGUUAUACCAGGCCAGCAUCGGUUCGGGUGGUUAGUUAAAGGCAUCGGGAAUGUAUCUACCCCUCGGGGUCGACUUAUAGCCCUUUGUGUAAUGUGACCUACCUGGACCGAGGCACGCGCAUUUGCUC